UACGGAGGGUGCAAGCGUUGUUCGGAUUUACUGGGCGUAAAGCGCGCGCAGGUGGGUGUGCAAGUCGGAAGUGAAAUCCCAGGGCUCAACCCUGGGGCUGCUCCCGAAACUGCACGUCUAGGGACUGGUAGAGGCUGGUAGAAUUCCCGGUGUAGCGGUGGAAUGCGUAGAGAUCGGGAAGAAUACCUGUGGCGAAGGCGGCCAGCUGGGCCAGAUCCGACACUGAGGCGCGAAAGCGUGGGGAGCAAACAGG
rnacentral:rRNA from 1 species